rnacentral:rRNA from 1 species
CUCGGGUGGCAGCAGUGGGGAAUAUUGGACAAUGGGCGAAAGCCUGAUCCAGCCAUGCCGCGUGUGUGAAGAAGGCCUUCGGGUUGUAAAGCACUUUCAGUGGGGAAGAAAGCCUUGGGGCUAAUACCCUCGAGGAAGGACAUCACCCACAGAAGAAGCACCGGCUAACUCCGUGCCAGCAGCCGCGGUAAUACGGAGGGUGCGAGCGUUAAUCGGAAUUACUGGGCGUAAAGCGCGCGUAGGCGGUCUGAUAAGCCGGUUGUGAAAGCCCCGGGCUCAACCUGGGAACGGCAUCCGGAACUGUCAGGCUAGAGUGCAGGAGAGGAAGGUAGAAUUCCCGGUGUAGCGGUGAAAUGCGUAGAGAUCGGGAGGAAUACCAGUGGCGAAGGCGGCCUUCUGGACUGACACUGACGCUGAGGUGCGAAAGCGUGGGUAGCAAACAGGAUUAGAUACCCGAGUAGUC